rnacentral:lncRNA from 10 species
GCGGGCAGCAGGCAGGACACGUGGAAACGCAACCGCCAGGAGGAAAGGCGGGACACAGCGGGAAGGGAGGUUUGCCUCCCCUCUCUUCCUGUGGUGACCCCCACCUCACUUACAAAAAUCACCACCGACGUUUGGGAACCGUGCACGCCGACUGAAAGCAAAGCUCAGCUGACCUGCGAGGAGUCCCCGGGGAGCUGCCGCGGUGGUCGCCGUUGAGUCCGUCCGUGCCGCUGGGGCCGAGGCAGCUGGAGAUGUGGUCAACGGGCUGAUGGGCACGGCUGUGGGACCCCAUCAUUCCCCUGCCCCGCAUGACUCUGCUCUCCCAGCUCGACUGCUCACUUCAGACUUCCCUUAUGGAAGGAGUUGCCAGAUAGAGCAAGUAAAAUACAGUGUGCCAGACACAGGUUUAUUUCAACACUGGGAAGGCUCCAUUCCUACUUAAACCCAGCAGGGAACAGGGAGCGGUGUGCAGAGGAGGUGGCCUGCCCGGGAAGCCGGCCUUGGUGCUGGGACUGCAGGGAGAGGGCUGUGAGGAAGAGCACAGGCUUCAUGCACAUUGCACAGAGGAGGAGAUUCAUGGGGACAGCAGGCACUGGUUAGGCACAGCGGGAAGGUUAUCGAAGACAAAACACAUUUCUACCCAAGUUUAAAUGACCUGCUAUGCCCACAGAGCUUGAUCCAGAAGUGCACAGUAGAGACGGGGUUUCACCAUGUUAGCCAGGAUGGUCUCGAUCUCCUGACCUCGUGAUCUGCCCGCCUCAGCCUCCCAAAGUGCUGGGAUUACAGGAGUGAGCCACCGCUCCCGGCCCAGAACUUUUAAUAAAUAUAAAUACACAGGUAAUUUUAACACAUAUUCCUGAUGAAAUCAUUAUUAUCUGCAAUGCUUUCAUUCUGCUUUUUCUCUUAACAAUGGCAUAAACAUUUUUCAAGGUCAAUAAAUGUUUUUCAAAAUCGCAUUUGUAUUAGUGGCUGUAUAGUUUUCUAUCAAAUGUGGAAUAAACUCAAUUUAUUUCUCCCUUUUGUUCUUGAACAUUUAAGAUCAUUGGUUCAUAGUUACUAAUCAUGUUACAACAAAUAUUCAUGUAUUCCAAAUUUUGCUCAUUCCUGAUUAUUUCCUUAGAUUUCCAGGUAUGGAAUAAUUAGGUUGAAGUGUUUGAAAUCUUUUUUUGUUGGUUUGUUUGUUUUUGAGAUGUAGCUUCCCUCUGUUGCCCCGGCUGGAGUGCACUGGCAUGAUCUCAGCUCACUCACUGCAACCUCUGCUGCCUGGUUCAAGCGAUUCUCCUGCCUCAGCCUCCUGAAUAGCUGGGGUUACAGGUGCGCACCACCACGCCCGGCUAAUUUUUGUAUUUUUAGUAGAGACAGGGUUUCAUCAUGUUGGCCAGGUGGGUCUCAAACUCCUGACCUCAGGUGGUCCUUCUGCCUUGGCCUCCCAAAGUGCUGGGAUUACAGGCGUGAGCCACUGCGCCCGGCCGAAGUGUUUGAAAUCUUUAAGCAUCCUGGUAAAUAUUGAGUUUUGUCAAUAUUUAGAAAAGUUGCAUGAUUGACAUCGCUUCCACCCAUGUUUCAGAGCAUCUGAUUUGUCAGACCCUCACCAAAAAUGGGCUUUUAUCAAAAUGUAAUAAAAAAUAAAUACAACUUUUCCAAUGACAAAA